rnacentral:rRNA from 1 species
CGGCAACAGCUCAAAUUUGAAAUCUGGCCCUCGUGGUCCGAGUUGUAAUUUGUAGAGGAUGCUUUUGGUGCGGUGCCUUCCGAGUUCCCUGGAACGGGACGCCAUAGAGGGUGAGAGCCCCGUCUGGUUGGACACCAAUCCUCUGUAAAGCUCCUUCGACGAGUCGAGUAGUUUGGGAAUGCUGCUCUAAAUGGGAGGUAAAUGUCUUCUAAAGCUAAAUACCGGCCAGAGACCGAUAGCGCACAAGUAGAGUGAUCGAAAGAUGAAAAGCACUUUGAAAAGAGGGUUAAAUAGUACGUGAAAUUGUUGAAAGGGAAGCGUUUGUGACCAGACUUGGGCUUGGUUAAUCAUCCAGCGUUCUCGCUGGUGCACUUUGCCAGCCCAGGCCAGCAUCAGUUCGCUGCGGGGGAUAAAAGCUUCGGGAACGUGGCUCUUCGGAGUGUUAUAGCCCGCUGCAUAAUACCCUGUGGCGGACUGAGGUUCGCGCAUCUGCAAGGAUGCUGGCGUAAUGGUCAUCAACGACCCGUCUUGAAACACGGACCAAGGAGUCGUCUUCGUAUGCGAGUGUUCGGGUGUCAAACCCCUACGCGUAAUGAAAGUGAACGGAGGUGGGAGCCUCGGCGCACCAUCGACCGAUCCUGAAGUUUACGGAUGGAUUUGAGUAAGAGCAUACGGGGCCGGACCCGAAAGAAGGUGAACUAUGCCUGUAUAGGGUGAAGCCAGAGGAAACUCUGGUGGAGGCUCGCAGCGGUUCUGACGUGCAAAUCGAUCGUCAAAUAUGGGCAUGGGGGCGAA